UACAGAGGGGGCAAGCGUUGUUCGGAAUUACUGGGCGUAAAGGGCGCGUAGGCGGCCUGUUAAGUCGAACGUGAAAUCCCCCGGGCUCAACCCGGGAACUGCGUCCGAUACUGGCAGGCUUGAAUCCGGGAGAGGGAUGUGGAAUUCCAGGUGUAGCGGUGAAAUGCGUAGAUAUCUGGAGGAACACCGGUGGCGAAGGCGGCAUCCUGGACCGGUAUUGACGCUGAGGCGCGAAAAGCCAGGGGGAGCAAACGGG
rnacentral:rRNA from 1 species